GGAGGAGGGAGCAGCCACCAGGACCCAGAGGCAGCCCUGCGGCUGGGCCUUGUGGGGGAUUCUCCCAGCCAGGGCUCCUGAGGUCUUGGGGGGCUCUUCCUUGCAGCCUCCUGGGUUUCCUGGAGGUCAGUAGAAGGGAAGGCCUCCCUCCCCGAGGGAACAAGAGCUGGCAUUUCUGUGGGCACUUGUCUCAGAGCCUCAGAGGGUGGCUGCAGAGGCCUCCCACCCGGAUCCCACAGCCUCCAAGGUGCCUGGUGUGAAGGGUGGAGCGUUCACACCAACCUAGACAUGGCAUCAUAGCAAAAAGGAAUUUGAGGACAGGUACCAGUCGCAGAUGGAAUUUGUUGAGAGAAAGAAACCAAUGCUGCACAGGGACAGGAGUGGGCUGAGGUCAGUUCGGCUAGGGCCUCUGGGCUGGGAGCAUCGUCUGUACACAGGGCACCAUCUGAGAGCACGUGUCCUCGGUUAUGUGGGUAACUGGUACAUGACGGUCACCAGGAUGGGGACUUUUACUGACGUAUGGGUCAUUUCUGGGAUGGGUUAUUUUCUUCCUUUGUUUCUGGAGCGUUCUGCUUUGUGAACACAGUUCUACCUCGGCGCACCUGUGAAUAAGGUCUAAUAACUGACUCAAUAGUAUUGUUGGUGACCAUGGUAUGCAAUAGUGACUUCAUUUUUUUUUCCAGUACUGGGGAUCGAACCCAGGGGUGCACUACCACUGAGCUAAAUUCCCAGCCCUCUUUUUUUCUUUUUUUUCCAGACAGGUUUUACUAAGUUGCUUAAUCUGGCCUUCAGUUAGGAUCCUCCUGCCUCAGCCUCCUGAACCAUUCGGUUUCCAGGCAGUUGCCACCAGGCUUGGCUAAAUCUGGACUUGCAACCCACUUGAAAUCUGGACUUUAAACCAUGGCCACUGUUGCAGGUCUGGUUUCUCUCUACCCCACCUCACUGCGGUAGACUUGAAAUGACUGACAGAUGACAGGUAAUACCUGGUACAGGGUCAAUGCCAGGAGGAUGGUCCUCAUACUGUGUUUUUCAGGGAACAAUGUGUUCGGUGCAGAUGCAACUUUCCAUUUGUGACAGGUUGAGCCGGGUCGCAGAGGCCUGGAGUUUUUACAAGCCACACUGCAAGCUAAGAGCCUCGCGUGGAUUGUGGAGAUAAACAAAGGCCUGGUGAUUCUGAGCUUGCCGUCGCACGGGGCUCUGCCACCAUGGAGACCCACAGGCAAGCAGGGACUGUGGGAACUUUAGGGUAGAAGAAGUUGACCAGCCCGACUGGAGGCUGCUGCUGGAGAAGGCUGAGGCCGGGUUGGUUGGCGUCAUUGGUGAGGGGACUAUACUUACGUUAUCAGGUUGAUCCUAAACUGGAAGUGGAGGCAAAAAUUAGGGAACCUCGUGGUCAGUGAUCAAGUCCUGGCCCUUGGGGCUCCUACAGAGGUCAUCCUUUGGCCUCCUGGAUUGGUUGUUACCGACAGCUCCUCACAGUUCUCUUUUAUCUGUGGUCCAGCCGUUGUCCGUUUGUCCAGUGUGCCCGGGCUCUUAGUAUGUGUUACGGUUUGGAUGUGAGGUGCCCCCAAAGGCUCCUGUGUCAAUGCAGGAAUGUUGUGAGGUACAAUGAUUGGGCUGUGAGGGCCGUGACCUCCUCAGCCCACUCCAGCUGAAACGAACUGACCGGGGGGUGGGUAACUGUAGACAGGGGGGAUGUGGCUGGAGGAGGUGGGUCACUCGGAGCUGCCCUGGAUGGUACAAAUGCCCUGCGGCCCCCUCCUCUCUCCCCUCUGCUCCCCGGCUGCCAUGAACAAGGCCGCCUUCCUCUGCCAUGCCCUGCCACCAUGAUGCUCUGCUCACCUGGGCCCAGAGCAGUGGAGUUGGCUGUCUAUGGACUGAAGCCUCUGAAACUGUGGGCCCCAGAUAAAUUUUUCCUCCUCUACAUUGUUCUUGUCAGGUGUUGGGUUGGCAAUGAAAAGCUGACUAAGCCAGGUGCACCGGUUCACACCCAGUGACUCAGGAGGCUGAGGCAGGAGGACUGCAAGUUUGAGGCCAACCCUGGCAACUUAGCCAGAUCCUGUCUCAAAAUGAAUAAUAAAAAAGGGCUGAGGAUGUAUCUCAAGCCCCAGUACCGAGAGAGAGAGAGAGAGAGAGAGAG
rnacentral:lncRNA from 1 species